GAAACCCAUUACCAUCGCACAGACCAUCAGCCCCCCAAAUUACCUUCAUCCUCAUGAAAUCAUAAACCCAAUUCUCUGCAAUUGAUUUUCGACACCGCAGACAAGAUUGGUGCCAGAGAUAACUAAAGCAAAAGCCGACUUCGAUACUAUUAGUAAGUUGCAUAUGAGGCAAUGUCGUGUUGAACAUAAGAAAGUUUAAGUUGAAGGAGUGCAUGGUGAUAAAGGAGUUGUCGAUAACUAUGGCACUAGCACUGGCAGUGUUUGUGGCAAUGAUGAUAUAGUUUGAACCUAUUGCUGAGCUAAAUUUUUUUCCUGCAUGUUUUUGGAAAUAAUAUCAGUAU
rnacentral:lncRNA from 1 species